GGACGUGUAGCACAGCUGGAUAAUGCGUUGGCCUCCUAAGCCGAAGAUCCCGGGUUCAAAUCCUGGCACGUCCG
rnacentral:tRNA from 1 species